rnacentral:ncRNA from 1 species
UUACAAGUGAUGAAGCGGAAUAGUACAGCAUGUAAACUCCUUGUGCAGAGAAUCCCUGUAUUGGUGAAAAGGGUGAAGGAGAACAGUUGGAACAAACCGCGGAGCUGCUUGCCGGAUAAAAAUGAUGGCAGGUCGGGAGCGCCCGUUAGCGCGCAAGGGUAUACGCAGGAAUGCGCGUACUUUUUGAGCCUGGCUUGGGUGACCUGCUGGGGAAACUAGGGUGGCACCGCGACGGUAUCUCGCCCCUAAG